rnacentral:rRNA from 1 species
UACGUAGGUGGCAAGCGUUGUCCGGAUUUAUUGGGUUUAAAGGGUGCGUAGGCGGUCAUGUAAGUCAGUGGUGAAAUCCGGCAGCUCAACUGUCGAUGUGCCAUUGAUACUGUAUGACUUGAGUACAGACGAGGUAGGCGGAAUUGACGGUGUAGCGGUGAAAUGCUUAGAUAUCGUCAAGAACACCGAUAGCGAAGGCAGCUUACUAGACUGUAACUGACGCUGAUGCACGAAAGUGUGGGGAUCAAACAGGAUUAGAUACCCCCGUAGUCC